GACGAACGCUGGCGGCGUGCCUAAUACAUGCAAGUCGAACGCUGAAGAGAGGAGCUUACUCUUCUUGGAUGAGUUGCGAACGGGUGAGUAACGCGUAGGUAACCUGCCUUGUAGCGGGGGAUAACUAUUGGAAACGAUAGCUAAUACCGCAUAACAAUGGAUGACACAUGUCAUUUAUUUGAAAGGGGCAAUUGCUCCACUACAAGAUGGACCUGCGUUGUAUUAGCUAGUAGGUGAGGUAAUGGCUCACCUAGGCGACGAUACAUAGCCGACCUGAGAGGGUGAUCGGCCACACUGGGACUGAGACACGGCCCAGACUCCUACGGGAGGCAGCAGUAGGGAAUCUUCGGCAAUGGGGGCAACCCUGACCGAGCAACGCCGCGUGAGUGAAGAAGGUUUUCGGAUCGUAAAGCUCUGUUGUAAGUCAAGAACGGGUGUGAGAGUGGAAAGUUCACACUGUGACGGUAGCUGACCAGAAAGGGACGGCUAACUACGUG
rnacentral:rRNA from 1 species